rnacentral:rRNA from 1 species
UGGGGAAUAUUGGACAAUGGGCGCAAGCCUGAUCCAGCCAUACCGCGUGGGUGAAGAAGGCCUUCGGGUUGUAAAGCCCUUUUGUUGGGAAAGAAAAGCAGCCGGUUAAUACCCGGUUGUUCUGACGGUACCCAAAGAAUAAGCACCGGCUAACUUCGUGCCAGCAGCCGCGGUAAUACGAAGGGUGCAAGCGUUACUCGGAAUUACUGGGCGUAAAGCGUGCGUAGGUGGUUGUUUAAGUCUGUCGUGAAAGCCCUGGGCUCAACCUGGGAAUUGCGAUGGAAACUGGGCGACUAGAGUGUGGCAGAGGGUAGUGGAAUUCCUGGUGUAGCAGUGAAAUGCGUAGAGAUCAGGAGGAACAACCGUGGCGAAGGCGACUGCCUGGGCCAACACUGACACUGAGGCACGAAAGCGUGGGGAGCAAACAGG